rnacentral:rRNA from 1 species
UACGGAGGGGGCGAGCGUUGUCCGAAGUUACUGGGCGUAAAGCGCGCGUAGGCGGGUUGGUAAGUCCGCUAUGAAAGCCCGGAGCUUAACUCCGGAGGGUCGGUGGAUACUGCCAGUCUUGAAGGUGCUAGGGGGAGAUGGAAUUACCGGUGUAGCGGUGAAAUGCGUAGAUAUCGGUAGGAACACCAGUGGCGAAGGCGGUCUCCUGGGGCAUUCUUGACGCUGAGGCGCGAAAGCUGGGGGAGCAAACGGG